AUCGCUUCUCAGCUUUUUGGCUAAGAUCAAAUGUAGUAUCUGUUCUUAUCAGUUUAAAAACUUUCCAGCCAGAAGAGAGAAUAUCAAAAUAUAUUUUAUUAGCACUCUUU
ensembl:snRNA U2 U2 spliceosomal RNA